GACGAACGCUGGCGGCGUGCCUAAUACAUGCAAGUAGAACGCAGUUGCGAACGGGUGAUUAACGCGUAGGUAACUGCCUCAUAGCGGGGGAUAACUAUUGGAAACGAUAUCUAAUACCGCAUCCUGUGAGAUGGACCUGCGUUGUAUUAGCUAGUUGGGGAGGUAAAGGCUCACCAAGGCGGCGGUACAUAGCCGACCUGAGAGGGGGAUCCGGCACAAUGGGAAGGAGACACGGACCAGACUCCUACGGGAGGAAGCAGGAGGGGAUUGUCGGAAAUGGGCGGAAGGCUGGCCGAGCAAAGGCGAGGGAGUGAAGAAGGUUUUCGGAUCGUAAAGCUCUGUUAUGAGAGAAGCGGUAACUAAACAGAAAGGGACGGCUAACUACGUGCCAGCAGCCGCGGUAAUAC
rnacentral:rRNA from 1 species